AUUGAACGCUGGCGGCAGGCCUAACACAUGCAAGUCGAACGAGUGGCGGACGGGUGAGUAAUGUCUGGGAAACUGCCUAGUGGAGGGGGAUAACUACUGGAAACGGUAGCUAAUACCGCAUACCAUCGGAUGUGCCCAGAUGGGAUUAGCUGGUUGGUGGGGUAACGGCUCACCAAGGCGACGAUCCCUAGCUGGUCUGAGAGGAUGACCAGCCACACUGGGACUGAGACACGGUCCAGACUCCUACGGGAGGCAGCAGUGGGGAAUAUUGCACAAUGGGCGAAAGCCUGAUGCAGCCAUGCCGCGUGUAUGAAGAAGGCCUUCGGGUUGUAAAGUACUUUCGGCGGGGAGGCGGUACCCGCAGAAUAAGCACCGGCUAACUACGUGCCAGCAGCCGCGGUAAUUC
rnacentral:rRNA from 1 species